rnacentral:rRNA from 1 species
CAGAUUUGAAAUCGUGCUUUGCGGCACGAGUUGUAGAUUGCAGGUUGGAGUCUGUGUGGAAGGCGGUGUCCAAGUCCCUUGGAACAGGGCGCCCAGGAGGGUGAGAGCCCCGUGGGAUGCCGGCGGAAGCAGUGAGGCCCUUCUGACGAGUCGAGUUGUUUGGGAAUGCAGCUCCAAGCGGGUGGUAAAUUCCAUCUAAGGCUAAAUACUGGCGAGAGACCGAUAGCGAACAAGUACUGUGAAGGAAAGAUGAAAAGCACUUUGAAAAGAGAGUGAAACAGCACGUGAAAUUGUUGAAAGGGAAGGGUAUUGCGCCCGACAUGGGGAUUGCGCACCGCUGCCUCUCGUGGGCGGCGCUCUGGGCUUUCCCUGGGCCAGCAUCGGUUCUUGCUGCAGGAGAAGGGGUUCUGGAACGUGGCUCUUCGGAGUGUUAUAGCCAGGGCCAGAUGCUGCGUGCGGGGACCGAGGACUGCGGCCGUGUAGGUC